CGGCCACGGUAUCCUAACCGUGCGAAGGUAGCAUAAUCACUUGUUCUUUAAAUGGGGACUCGUAUCAACGGCACCACGAGGGUUAUACUGUCUCCUUUUUCUAAUCAGUGAAAUUAAUCUCCCCGUGAAGAAGCGGGGAUACCCCUAUAAGACGAGAAGACCCCAUGGAGCUUCAAACCCAACUACACCCCUAGUUUCUAUAACUCUCAACCCCCAGGGCCCUGUACAGUUGGUUUUAGGUUGGGGCGACCACGGAGUACAACAAAACCUCCACAAUGAAUGGGACCACCCCCCAUCUAAGAGCUACAACCCUAAGAAUUAGAACACUAACAUAAAAUGAUCCAUUAUUUGAUCAAUGAACCAAGUUACCCUGGGGAUAACAGCGCAAUCCAUUUCAAGAGCCCCUAUCGACAAAUGGGUUUACGACCUCGAUGUUGGAUCAGGGUGUCCUAGUGGUGCAGCAGCUACUGACGGUUCGUUUGUUCAACGAUU
rnacentral:rRNA from 1 species